rnacentral:rRNA from 1 species
CCUACGGGAGGCAGCAGUGAGGAAUAUUGGUCAAUGGGCGCGAGCCUGAACCAGCCAAGUCGCGUGAGGGAAGACGGUCCUAUGGAUUGUAAACCUCUUUUGUCGGGGAGCAAAAGACGCCACGCGUGGCGUUCCGAGAGUACCCGAAGAAAAAGCAUCGGCUAACUCCGUGCCAGCAGCCGCGGUAAUACGUAGGUGGCGAGCGUUAUCCGGAUUGAUUGGGCGUAAGGGGUGCGCAGGCGGGCCUGCAAGUCUGGAGUGAAACGCAUGAGCUCAACUCAUGCAUGGCAUUGGAAACUGGAGGACUGGAGAGCAGGUGAGGGCGGUGGAACUCGAUGUGUAGCGGUAAAAUGCGUAGAUAUAUGGAAGAACCCCAGUGGCGAAGGCGGCCGCCUGGCCUGUUGCUGACGCUGAGGCACGAAAGCGUGGGGAGCAAAUAGGAUUAGAUACCCCAGUAGUC